AGUUCUUCAGCGAUUUGGCCGAACCCGCGAUUGCCGCACUGAGAGGAGCUCCAGCGAAAACAACACCAGACUAGGAAAUAUCAGGCCAGGCGCAAGGCAGAUAACAUGAAGAUAAACCGAGAGGGGUUCAGCAGAUGCUGAAUGUCAUGCUGGGUAUUUCCAGCAUUUGGUCAUGUGACUACCCCCACACAUACUGCACACAUACUACACAUACCCCCACACAUACCUGAUACUUUGAAAUUCUUGCAGUCUAGUUUGCUCACUAUGAAAAUGUGUCGAUAUACUUUGACCAAGAGGGAAAAGCUAAGCACAAUAUUUCCUACCCACUAUUAUCCCCACAUUGCAGUCAAAGACAAAUUCCAUGUACUUCCCAGACACUCAUUCAGUUAGAAUCCUCUCAGUACUUAGUGGUCCUGGUGUACCAUAGUCUUGUUAUACACGGAUCACUGAAAGAGGAGGCUAUUGCUGAUGCAUAUAUCACAAAGAUGAAGCUCCUGCAAUGUGACAAAGGAUUGAUGAGGAUCCUCCAUCAGCAAGCCACUGAUUAGAAGGUAAACUGCUCAUCGAUCUCAGUUUGAUUUUGGCAAAUGGCAGCCGAAAAUAUCUGGUCACUGUAUCUGAAUUUGCUGCAGACUACAGAAUAAAUAUAGCAGAAUUGGAAGGGACCAAAUAAUUCAAUCACAUGGAUUUAAAGUAUUUGCCUGCCCCCUGCCUCAAAUUGAUGAAAAUAUUGGAGAAAUAAGCGAGUUUGGUAUAUCAACUGCGCGUGCCCAGGUCAUAGGUCAUUUGCGAAUAUCAUUCUCGCCAGGUGAGCUGCUGCGUGUAUACAGACCUGCGUUUCAUCUGUAUUUUCUAGUUUUGCUUCUUCGAGGUAAGAAAAUACUGCUUUCAAAACUAUUAACUAGGUGUACUUAUGGUUCAUUUGUACAAAACUACGAUGAUUUUGUUGGUUUUAUUGCUUUAUGCUUCGGAAAGUAUAAUGGUUAUACCAGUGUCUCAAACUAACUGUUAUGUUCAGUGUACAUAAUAUUGCUUCAAAUAAUAUUAUGUCUACUGAACAUAGUGGUUAGUUUGAGACACUGGUAUAACAGUUAUACGCUCAUUGCAGUCAUUGGUGUGCCUAGUAAAAACUUCGGCAAACAAACUUUUACAGUUUUCCGUGAUAUAUUUGGAUUUGUUCACUCCUUGCGGUAUAGUAAUGCAACUUUAUCAUUGGCAGUAUGUAGGACAUCAGCAGUAAGUGCGGUGAUCAUUCAGGUCGCAUCGUGUUUUAUUUUUUUAACUCGGCUGAAAAUAAACAAACUGUUGGAAGAGA